GUCUAUGGCCACACCACCCAGAACAAGCCCGAUGUCUGAUCUCGGAAGCUAAGCAGGGUUGGGCCUGGUUAGUACUUGGAUGGGAGACCACCUAGGAAGACCAGGUGCUGUAGGCA
rfam:Pteropus alecto contig169629, whole genome shotgun sequence.